rnacentral:lncRNA from 1 species
AAAGAAGAGGUCAUAUGAACACAGGAAAAUGGUAGCUGCCUGCAAGCCAAGGGAAGAGGACUCAUGAGGAAACCUGUCUUGCUGGCACCUUGAUCUUGGACAUUCCACCCUCCAGAACUGCCCUAGUUCAAUGGAGGAUAUCUUUGAAGAGCUACACCUGCUGCAGAUCAACCCAUGGGACUGGCUGAGUGUUUGUUUUUAUAACAGCACUGCAGAUCGACUUUCCCUCUGCCCAACUCUGCUUCUUUGACCCUCUUAAAGAUGCGCCUUUCAGCUCCCAUCGUGAUAAUGAGGCCUCCCCAGCCACAUGGAACUGUGAGUCCAUUAAACCUAUUUUUCUUUAUAAAUUACCCAGUCUUAGGUAUGUCUUUAUCAGCAGUGUGAAAACAGACUAAUACAGGGUGUGAUCAUUUAAAGCAAUGAUCACACUGAUGGGUGGGGGGUUAACUUAAAACAAAUGACAGAAGAAGAGCAAGUCUGAGCUUGGUUCCCACAUGGGUCAGCAUAUAUUUAGAUGCAAACUGAAAAUGCAGUUGUCAAGUGCUACAACUACAUUCAGAUGGAAUGGCCCCUUCUAAUUAACAGAGCUUGAACUUGACAAAUUCAGAUCAAUCAGCUUGUCUUCAGCAACCCCAGUGCUUGUUAAAAUUGGCCCAUAAUGACAGCAAUAGGUUGUGGACACUCAUUAAAGCUAAUCUAGCUACUGAUGCUUCUUAAUAUCUAAUAGAAUCUAAUAUUAAGCAUCUAUCAUAAAACCAUAUCUAGAAGAUACCAAUGAGCUACCUUGGUGGCAGAUUGAUAUCAUUAGACUUCUUUCACCAUUGUACUCUUUAUUUUCACCAGAACAAACUAAUUGCAGACAUAGAUUUGUCUUUCUUAACCAGCAUCGUUGUCUAAAGAUUUAUGUAGUGAUCCACUGAUGUAAGAUCCCUCAUUACAUCACAUUGGACCAAGCAGAUGAUGUGCAUCAGUGAGCACAUCAACAUGACAUUUAUGAAUUCCAUCACAAACCACACACACAGCAACCUCUAACCUGAAAGGGAAAUGAAACAUACUCUUGAAGGUUCAACUAAGACUUCAACUUGGAGAUGGCACCUUACAAGGAUGGGCAGUCAUUCCUUUGGAUGCAGUAUACAGUUUACACCAAUGAUAAGUAUAUAGUUCUAGGUAUACGAUAUAUAGAAUAAAUGGGUCAGGGAAUCAAGGACUGUAAAAAUGGUCUUGUUCACUAUCACUGUUAGUGUCCCACUUGGAAUUUUUGCUUUCUGCUUCCAGAAAGAAGGUAUACAACUCCUAGUUAGCAGAAGUAGAAUUUUACAAGAAUCAACAACAAAAAUAAACAAACAAAAAGUAAAAAUCACAGCUGCCACUUGAUAGUUUGCACAUUGUGUUUCAAGAGAGGAGAAGAGGAGUUAUCAUACUGGCCUAACAUUCAGAGGGAAGCAGACCUACUGUUACUCAAUAGGACAGGAAAGAAAACAUUUGUAGUGUAGGUAAUCCUCUGGGAUGUUUUCUGUUAUUCACCUACUUAAUUUAGAUGAUAAAUGGGUAAAAGCAGCCACUACAGCCUAGGAAGUGUAUGGUGACCAGACCCAUGUAGGCAAGCAGAGGGGCAGGAUAAAGGUGAAGAGUAUCUAAGCUAGGUAAUAGAGAAGCAAGGUAAUAUGAAAAAGUUGUAACCCUGAGACCAGUUACAUGUCAGGGGCUGUAGUUCAUCCUACUAACUAUCUUUUUAUAAGUUUUCUCAGAAAAAAGAAGUCCAAUCUGAAGCCCAGAGAACCUAUUCCCCAAAGAAAUGAGCUUAUUAUACAAAGCCAAUGGAUUUAUCUUACAAAAAGGGCUGUUUUCCCAGCAGCUGAAACUAUCACUUGCUGGCAACAUUUGGCCCUUGGCCAAACAAAUCUAACUUGCUCAAGUCUGCAGCCUGUCCUCAGAAAGAAUCCUGUACCCAGUGACUGGUCCAGCAUAGGUUCAAAAGAUUGACUCCUUGCAUCAAUAUGGCACAUCAUUGAAAUAUUGUCUGAACUUCAGAGCUCCUCAAGGAUGUUCAUGAGACCUCUGUUACAACUGCUCCUUUUCCUGGUCAUCAUCUUUUCAUCAGCCUCCCGGGUGAAUUAUCUGCAAGUAAAUCUUCACCUGAGACUCAUUUUCUUAUUACCAGACCUACAACAGAUCUCAGACAUUAUCUUUUUAUUAUUAUAAUUAUUAUUAUCAUACUUUAAGUUCUGGGGUACAUGUGCAGAACUUGCAGGUUUGUUACAUAGGAAUACACGUGCUAUGGUGGUUUGCUGCACCCAUCAACUUGUCCUCUACAUUAGGUAUUUCUCCUAAUGCUAUCCCUCCCCUAGCCCCCAUACCCUGACAGGCCCCGGUGUGUGAUGUUCCCCUCCCUGUGUACAUGUGUUCUCAUUGUUCAACUCCCACUUAUGAGUGAAAACAUGCGGUGUUUGGUUUUAUGUUCCUGUGUUAGUUUCAUGUACAAUCUUUAAUCAGGGCUAAAAGUAAU